UGCGAUCAUACCAGUACUAAUGCACCGGAUCCCAUCAGAACUCCGCAGCAGUUAACCGUGCUUGGCGAGAGUAGUACUAGGAUGGGUGACCCCCUGGGAAAUCCUCGUGUUAC
rnacentral:rRNA from 1 species